UACGUAGGUGGCAAGCGUUGUUCGGAAUUACUGGGCGUAAAGGGCGCGUAGGCGGCCUUCUAAGUCGAACGUGAAAUCCCUGGGCUCAACCCAGGAACUGCGUCCGAUACUGGAAGGCUUGAAUCCGGGAGAGGGAUGCGGAAUUCCAGGUGUAGCGGUGAAAUGCGUAGAUAUCUGGAGGAACACCGGUGGCGAAGGCGGCAUCCUGGACCGGUAUUGACGCUGAGGCGCGAAAGCCAGGGGAGCAAACGGG
rnacentral:rRNA from 1 species